AAAAACAUAAUACUUAUUUAACCCUCAAAUUUUAUAAAAAAAAUUUAUUUUAUAAAAAAAUUAUUUUAUUCCUUCAUUUUAUUUUAUUGUCCCUUUUAACUUUUGAAUUUAUUUUUGUUGCUGAUGUGGAUAUUACAUAAGGAAUUAAUUUUUAAAAAAAUUUAAAAUAUUAACUUUUUUUUUAUCUAUUUUAAAUAAUUUGACAAAAAAAUAUAAAUUUAAUAAUUAAAAAACAAAAAAUUAAAUAAAGUACUAAACUGAUAUUUUGAUAAAGUCGGAGGUAUGCCAUUAUAUAAAAAAGAUAGAACUAUUUUGAUAUUGUAGGGAUGUGAUGGUGAAUGGUCAUAUAUAAAGCAUUAAUGGAGUCGAAAAGGAAACCCAGCUGAUGAAGUAACCCGGAAAAUCCUUUUCCUUCCUAUAAAGUGUCGGUUGAUUCAUGCAAUUGGCGCCUUCAUCAUCUCAUUUCUCUUAUCUCCAUUCUUUCAAGUCUAAAAGAAGAAAAACAAAACACUUGUUUUCUCUUCUGAAAUGGAUCCGACACCGACGUCCGAUAACCGACCUGAAAUCUGUUUUUUCGAUUUGGAGACCACCGUCCCUCAGCGGCGCGGCCAAGGCUACUCCAUUCUCGAAUUUGGUGCCAUUUUAGUUUGCCCCAAGAGGCUCCUUGAGCUCCACAGCUACUCCUCUCUGGUCCGACCCGACGACCUCUCUCUUAUUUCCCCUGCCUCUGCGCGCUGCAACGGUAUCACUCGAGAAGCCGUCAUUUCGGCACCUUCCUUUUCUGAAAUCGCCGACGAAGUUCACGACCUUCUCCAUGGUCCGCAUCUCACACUCAAAUUUCCUUCUUUUUUUGUUUUCCUUCUGGUUUUAAGUAUAUGAAGUUUUUUAAAUGAAUUUUGCAGGAAGGGUUUGGGCGGGUCAUAAUAUAGUGAGGUUUGAUUGCGUGAGAAUAAGGGAGGCGUUCGAGAAGAUUGGUAGGGCGGCGCCGGAGCCUAAGGGAAUUAUCGAUUCAUUGGCGUUGUUGACUCAAAGAUUCGGAAGGAGAGCCGGUAAUAUGAAGGUAUUUUUAUUUCUUAUAAAAACUUCAGCCUUUUUUCUAUUUUUAUAAAAACCUUAGCCAUCUUUUAUCAACCUUAUGUAUACAUAUCAUCCAUACACAUAUGGUCGUUAGAAAUUUAUAAUCAUUGUGUGAAGCAUUUAAACAUUAAAAUAUCAAGAAAACAUCAGACUGCCAGAUUUAUCCAGUUGAGCUGGGGAUCGGAAGUCCGACCGAUUUGAUUUUUUUUUUCCUAAUUCCAACAUAUUGCAAGUUUUGGCACUUGAUAUGGAGUUUUGUUUAAUGUUACUUAAAUGCAGAUGGCAACUCUUGCCAAUUAUUUCGGGAUUGGAGUGCAGUCACACAGGCAAGUCUUUAAUGAAUAUAUAAACUCUUUUCACCUUGGAUGAGAGUGGGAAUUUUUUGUUUCACUGAAAUAAACAUCCUGCUAUAUGAUCAUUCAGGAGCUUGGAUGAUGUUCGCAUGAACCUCGAAGUUGUCAAGUAUUGUGCAACCGUUUUGUUCCUGGUAUGGUACUAGUUUUUGAGUGGCAAAUGUUGUAACACUGUGUUGUUUUCAACGAUGUGCCUUUGGCAUCACAAAAUUUAAGCACCAUAUUUCACUUGCCUCAACUUGGGAAAUGUUAGAUCAGACAUUUUUUUCAGUGACAAUGCUUCUGUGAGUUUAUGCAAGAUUCUGAAUGCUUGUGACAAUGCUGCCAAAAGAAUUUUCGAAGACUGCGAAAGCAGUUCCGAGUGGAAGCCUAUCAUGGGUAUAAAUUAUCGUUACAUCAACAAUCCGACCGUGAGACUGCAGUAAGUUUUUCCUACUUUAAAUGUUAUGUUUCAGAUAGUUUAAAGACAUGGACUUGAAUCUUGUAACUAUUUCAUUGAUUCUUUGAUUUGUUUCUGGCAGCAUACCGACUGUAGUCAACGGCAAUAUCGCUCGCUAUGCUGCUGAGAUUCAUCAGAAGGAUAGCUCCGGUACUGUGCAAAAGCUCGUAUUCAGCAAAUUUGAUGCUGCAGAGCUUGGUAACUUAAUCAGAGGUGGGAUCUUUGUGGAUGCAUUCUUCAGCUUGGAUACUUAUGAUUAUCUGCAGAAUGCAGGCAUCAGAUUGGUGGCCAAAAAAUUGGUUAUACAUUCAGAUUAGGGGUGAUUGAUCCAUUUCAGAUUGUUUCCAGAUAUGUAAUAGCACUGUUUAUGCUAAAUCUGACUCAUAGAUAUGAGUUGAUUUCUCUCAUUCAUAGCUUCAGAAUGACAUAGGGCACUGAUAAAAAAAAGAUUGAUAUUGUAAAUUUAUGAUACUGUAAUGAUUGAAUAAUUAUUGCUAAUAAUUGAAUAAUUUCAUUUUUUUAUGUACUUCUUUCAUAUGUGUCGAGCAUCACAAUUCUUAUUUUUUGUUUUUUUUUUAUACAAUAUCUAAAAUUACCUAUAGCUUCUCCUCAUCCCUUAAAUAAGAGGGUAAUAUAUUUCAACGCACUCAAACCUACAUAUUCGUAUUGAUGCUAAUUGAACUAAGACUCAAUCGAAAAUGAUUUUAUUUUUAUACAUUGGAUAUUUCGUGCAAAUAAAUAAACUUGUUACGGUCUAAUCAUUUAUGUAUCUUUAUUAUUUUUAAAAAUUAUCUAAACGUUCUAAUUGUGUUUACUUAAUGUUUUUAAGACAUUCGUAUAAAGUUAAAUUUUUGUCAAAAUACUCAAAUAAAAGCUAAAUCUUUAAUUCUCGCUUCUUUUAUCUUUUAACAAAUUAACCUAACUUAGAUUAUUAUGUUUUAGAUUUUUCUAGGAACAUCCUUAAGUUUAUUUUAGUAUUUUAAUAAAAAAUGGGUUAAAUUUAAUUCAUUAGAAAAUAAAAAAGCAUUCAAAAAGGUUUUUUUGAAAACACACUUGAAAAUUACGUGGAUAAUAUAUNNNNNNNNNNNNNNNNNNNNNNNNNNNNNNNNNNNNNNNNNNNNNNNNNNNNNNNNNNNNNNNNNNNNNNNNNNNNNNNNNNNNNNNNNNNNNNNNNNNNUAUUAUAUUAUAUCAUAUACGAUAAAUAGUGACUUCACAGCAACAUAUUAAUAUUUAACAGUUUAAUGAUUUAAAUAAAAAUUUUUAAAUAAUUUAAUAAUUAUUUUAUAUCUUUUUUUAAAUAAUUUAACAAUUAUUUUAUAAUUUUUAAACAAACCGUAAAUUUCGUAAUAGUUACAUGUAGUUUACCCUUUUCUUAAUACCAUGUUCAUUCUUUAAAACUAAAAAUAUUAUAAUUAUUAAAAACAAAAAAAGAAUUAUAACAAAUAUUUUUAAUUUUUUAAAUAAUACUAAAUUAGAGAGUCAAAUAUCCGCGAAGGACCCAAACAGAUGUCUUCAGCAAUUAUCAGUUUAGGCUUAGGGCUAGAAAAAGCCCAUGAUAUGGUGGACAGGCCCCGUUUGCUUUUACGAAAGAAAAUUUAAAAGCCUUUGUUUGAUUAAUCUCGUCAUCUUCGACGCCGUUUCUCAGCGAACCACCAGAAACAUCCAGUAUUGUUGUUGCUGGCUGAAGGGCCUUAAACAAAGGUGUGUUUCGAUUUCGGCAAGGUUGGGGGCUUUUCCUUUUCUUGUUGGAUUUGGAUUUACUGUGGGUUUUAGCUCUUAUUAAUCACCAUCUUCCUCUCUGUAUCUCCUGGUGAGUUGAUAUUCUUUUUCUCUGUAAUCAAAUUCAUUAAUUUCUUAGUUAGAGUUGAACCUUCAGUAUUGAUUUUCUGGUGGUUUGCGCUCUUCCUCGGCGGCGCACGUUCCUUUUCCACUGCUUUUGGAAAAGCAGAAUACCAUCGGCUUUCAGGAUUAGGGUUGGCGUCUUUCUCUCCCGUUUCUUCCACUUCAAUCCCCUGGUAAGGUCACUUAGUCCUCAAAUUCGUUCUCUAGUUUCAAUUAAUUUCAGUUUUCAUCUUGUUAAAUGUAGGGGUUUUUUUUGUUUUUUUUGUAAUUCCAGGAAGCAGGAAAGCGCGAAGCUUUAAAAUUAGUUGAAAGGGAAUUUUAGAUUUUGGAAAUUGUGAGGGGAAAAUAUGGCUGAAGGGAAGGGAGGGGAUCAGAUGGAUCAUUUUCAUAGAUACCUUUCAUUUUUAUUUUUGCUUCUUUCUUUUUAUUCUCUGAUUGCUUCUCUUUGGGUGCUUGCAGGUAAGGUUACAACAGCUGUUAUUUUUAAUCUUACAUGAUAUGAAGUUGGUAUGCAAGCAGAGGUGUGGGUAUGAAGAAGAAAACCACUUACUGGAAACAGGAAUGGCUUGUGGUUAUGGUUGUUGAAGGUUUCUGCAAAGAAUGAUUGAUACCUACUCCACUGCCCUUUCUCUUUUCCCAUUUUUAUUUUAUUAUAGCAUUCACGUUAACAAUAUUAUUAUUUUAUUAUUUAUGUGUUCUUGAUAAAAAACAUAAUACUUAUUUAACCCUCGAAUUUUAUAAAAAAAAUUUAUUUUAUAAAAAAAUUAUUUUAUUCCUUCAUUUUAUUUUAUUGUCCCUUUUAACUUUUGAAUUUAUUUUUGUUGCUGAUGUGGAUAUUACAUAAGGAAUUAAUUUUUAAAAAAAUUUAAAAUAUUAACUUUUUUUUUAUCUAUUUUAAAUAAUUUGACAAAAAAAUAUAAAUUUAAUAAUUAAAAAACAAAAAAUUAAAUAAAGUACUAAACUGAUAUUUUGAUAAAGUCGGAGGUAUGCCAUUAUAUAAAAAAGAUAGAACUAUUUUGAUAUUGUAGGGAUGUGAUGGUGAAUGGUCAUAUAUAAAGCAUUAAUGGAGUCGAAAAGGAAACCCAGCUGAUGAAGUAACCCGGAAAAUCCUUUUCCUUCCUAUAAAGUGUCGGUUGAUUCAUGCAAUUGGCGCCUUCAUCAUCUCAUUUCUCUUAUCUCCAUUCUUUCAAGUCUAAAAGAAGAAAAACAAAACACUUGUUUUCUCUUCUGAAAUGGAUCCGACACCGACGUCCGAUAACCGACCUGAAAUCUGUUUUUUCGAUUUGGAGACCACCGUCCCUCAGCGGCGCGGCCAAGGCUACUCCAUUCUCGAAUUUGGUGCCAUUUUAGUUUGCCCCAAGAGGCUCCUUGAGCUCCACAGCUACUCCUCUCUGGUCCGACCCGACGACCUCUCUCUUAUUUCCCCUGCCUCUGCGCGCUGCAACGGUAUCACUCGAGAAGCCGUCAUUUCGGCACCUUCCUUUUCUGAAAUCGCCGACGAAGUUCACGACCUUCUCCAUGGUCCGCAUCUCACACUCAAAUUUCCUUCUUUUUUUGUUUUCCUUCUGGUUUUAAGUAUAUGAAGUUUUUUAAAUGAAUUUUGCAGGAAGGGU
rnacentral:lncRNA from 1 species